rnacentral:rRNA from 1 species
AACGAACGCUGGCGGCAGGCCUAACACAUGCAAGUCGAGCGCUCCGCAAGGGGAGCGGCAGACGGGUGAGUAACGCGUGGGAACCUAGCCUACGGUCGGGAAUAGCUCAGGGAAACUUGGGGUAAUACCGGAUACGCCCUUACGGGAAAGAUUUAUCGCCGUUGGAUGGCCCGCGUCGAUUAGCUAGUUGGUGAGGUAAUGGCUCACCAAGGCGACGAUCCGUAGCUGGUCUGAGAGGAUGAUCAGCCACACUGGGACUGAGACACGGCCCAGACUCCUACGGGAGGCAGCAGUGGGGAAUUUUGGACAAUGGGGCAACCCUGAUCCAGCCAUGCCGCGUGCGGGAAGAA